UCUCUAUCUGUUACAUGGAUGUAUUAUAAGAACUGGAUAGAGCACCGCCCCUCUGGUUCUGUUCAUUCCUACGGAG